rnacentral:rRNA from 1 species
UACGUAGGGGGCAAGCGUUGUCCGGAAUCAUUGGGCGUAAAGCGCGUGUAGGCGGCCCGGAAAGUCUGGUGUGAAAACUUGAGGCUCAACCUCAAGCUGUCACUGGAUACUGUCGGGCUUGAGUCCGGAAGAGGAGAGUGGAAUUCCUGGUGUAGCGGUGGAAUGCGCAGAUAUCAGGAGGAACACCAAUGGCGAAGGCAGCUCUCUGGUACGUGACUGACGCUGAGACGCGAAAGCGUGGGGAGCAAACAGGAUUAGAAACCCCAGUAGUCC